CGCUCGCGCGAUCCGAGGAGGAUCUGCUCGCGUGAUCCGUGGCGGCGCUUUACGUAAAUGUUUUCUAAAAAAACAACGCAAUUAAUUAGCUGGGCCCUGCAUAUACAUGCAUGUACGUUGGGGGUCAAAUCUCCCGUCCACGCCGCCUUCACGAUCGCCAGUCCACGUCGCCUCCAUGAUCGCCAGCCCAUGCCGCCGAAACCUAGCCAUCUGCGCCCGCCGCCCCCGCCGCCAUCUGCGGCCGCCGCCGGCCGCGACGACAUCUGACAUCGACGCCUCUCUCGCCACGUGACGCCGACGCACCCGACGCCAUCUGCCCCUAUGCCACCCCUCAUGCCGACGCCCGGACAGUGCCCCCAUCACGUCGCCGUUCCCAGCGAGCCGUCUGUGACGUCGCUGUCCGCCGUGUCUGAAGUCGUCGUCCGCCGUUCCCCUGCGCCAGGGGCGGAGCUACCUCCCAGCGACCCCGGACAGCUUCCCGGGCUGCUCCGGCCAUUCUCCACUAAGUAGUACACAUAAACCAUGAUUAAUAUCACUAAUUACAGGGGCAAAUUCUGGACAACGGCACUGUAUACAGGCUUUGCCCCGGCUCCUUGAGUUGGCUGGCUCCGCCACUGCCCUGCGCACUGUCGUCCCUCCCGGCCGGCCCGAUCCCAUGGCACGAGGUACAACUUCUACCACACGUACUGUGCAUCAGGGGCGGAGCUUUGGUGGGGCUAAACUGGGCUAGCACGAGCAUGUAGCAGCGAUUUACUCAAAGAAAAAAGAGCAUGUAGCAGCGCUGCAGUAUCUCCUGGCCACAGCCGGCAGCAGCACUCCGCACUCGUACUAGGUCUAUUAUUGGCUGGGAAAAAUAGUUAGAUGGAAAUAGUACUACACUACCCAUUUAAUUUUCCUACAUUGCUUCGUUAGAUAACCAGAUUUUUGCACUCGCUUUUUCUUUACAUUUUACGGACCAUAACAUAUAUUUGGUUGCCAUAAGCAAUGGACAUCAGCCACUCACACUCAAGGAAGAAUUGGUUUUUAAAGAAAAAGAUAUCAUUACAAAAAUUCAAAUUAAUACUCGCUCCGUUCCUCAAUAUAAGGUGUAUUAUUUUUCUAAAAAGUCAAACUUCUCUAAGUUUGACCAAGUUUAUAGACAAAAAUAUCAAUAUCUAGAAUACCAAAUCAUUAUCACUAGAUUCAUCCUGGACUAUAUUUUUACAUUUUAUAUCUUUACUAUUAUAAAUCUUUAUAUAUUUUGUUGUAAAGUUGGUCAAAUGUAGACAACAAUUGACUUUUUGAAAAACUAAUACACCUUAUAUUUAGGAACGGAGGGAGUAUAUACAUAUCUACUCACUCCAUCUUAAAAAAAAAGAGAUCAUUACUAAUGCCUAUUAUUUAGUACUUCGAAAUUUUGUGAUAUCUCUUUUUCUGGCCCGCCCAACUUUUUCUUUGGAGCUCCGCCACUGUUGUGCAUUCAUCAUCUUUAUCAUGUAACCAUGUAAAGUAUCUAAUAUUUUGUUGCUUCUAUUCAUAGUGAUGAACGCGUACGUAGAGAUAUAUUAUUCCGUUGGAAAGUGGUGUUUGUUGGUCACCAAACUGAACUCUAGGCAGAAAAGCGUUUUGCAAGCACUAGACUAGAAAAAAUGUUGAUGAUUCCUAGUGUGCUCAUGCGAAAGUGUUUGCUGAAGUUCAUUAUUAAAUCAUAUGCAUUGGACAGAAAAAAGUUCAUCAUCCAAUCAAAAAACGGUGCGAUAUCAUUGCGCACUGAAGAUGUGUUUGACAUUUUCGGGCCACAGAACAAGGGCAGAGAUGCCAUGAAAGUGCUAGGUAAAGGGGGGGUUAAAGGCGAAGGUGAAGGUGCCUAGUUGUUUUGUAGAUUCCAGUAUGGGUGAAAUGAUGAUAGACCAACUAAUUGAGGACAUUGUUGCCAGUGGCACGCAUGAUGAUGAUUACCGCACUCCACGAAUGAAGUUCCUAAUGCUUAUUACAAGUUAGUGGAGGAUGUGGAGGCCAUAAAAGCAUUUAAUUGAAAUGCAUUUACUUUACGCGUUUGCGUUGAGGGCAUCACAAAGGCGGUAUCGGAUCUUACAAAAUUUACUUGGCCGAUCAGAAACCUUGUCCUCAUACAGAAAGUGUAGCCACUAGAUGAAGAGGCAUUCGAUCCACUGGCUCAUGAAUAUCCGUUGAUGCAUAAUUGGACAGAAGAUGAGGCUCAGAAGCGUGACGCGUACGACACAUCAUACGGCCGGGGUAAUGGGACGAUUGAUGACGAUAUAAGUGAGAAGUACAUACAUACAUUAAUUGCUCAAGAAGGGAAAAAAUGCGGAGGAAGAAUUUGAGCCAGAAGAUAGCAGGUCGUGCCCCAAAAAAGAAAGAUAAUAGAGAUGGUAUUAUUCAUAAUGUUUGUAUGUAGUUAAUGCUUUUGAUGUGUUAUUGCAGAUAGUAGUGGAGGAGCUGGAGAAGAAAGGAUUUGUCUUCAAGCCAAACAAGGGGUUUCGUGAUGAUGUUGAGUUUGUGGAGCAUAGUGAUGACUGGGUGGGGAAAUAUGGCCAUCUGUCCUGAUGGGCCAUAUUUCCCCACCCAGUCUAAUAUGGCCAUCUGUCCUGAUGGGCCAUAUUUCCCCACCCAGUCUUCACUAUACUCCACAAACUCAACAUCAUCACCAAACCCCUUGUUUGGCUUGAAGACAAAUCCUUUCUUCUCCAGCUUCUCGACUACUAUCUGCAAUAACAUAUUGAAAGCAUUAACUAUGUGCAAACAUUAUGAAUAAUCUCAUGUAAAUUGAAGUACACAUCACUCAUUACCUCAGAACAUUUUUCAGGGAGAAGACGAAUUUCUUUUUCAUAUCUUUGAUGUUUUUCAUCACUUGAUCUAAUGUAGUGUCCCUGCUCGACGAAGCCUCAUCUCUAUUAUCUUUCUUUUUUCGGGCACGACCUGCUAUAUCUUCUGGCUCAGAUUCUUUCUCCGCAUUUUUUCCUUCUUGAGCAAUUAAUGUCUGUCUGUACUUCUCACUUAUCACGCCAUCAAUCUGUGACACGUUAAAUUAAUUUAAAU